rnacentral:rRNA from 1 species
GACGAACGCUGGCGGCGUGGAUUAGGCAUGCAAGUCGAACGGUAUCAUCCUUUCGGGGGUGAGAGAGUGGCGAACUGGUGAGUAACACGUAGGUUAUCUACCCUCAAGACGGGGACAACCCAGGGAAACUUGGGCUAAUACCGGAUGUGAGCAACUUUUAGUUGUUUGAAAGGUGGCGUAAGCUGUCGCUUGGGGAUGAGCCUGCGUCCUAUUAGUUAGUUGGUGAGGUAACGGCUCACCUAGGCAAUGAUAGGUAGGCGGCCUUAACGGGUGGUCGCCCACACUGGGAUUGAGAUACGGCCCAGACUCCUACGGGAGGCAGCAGUCGAGAAUAGUCUACAAUGGUCGGAAGACUGAUAGUGCGACGCCGCGUGAACGAUGAAUCCCUUCGGGGUGUAAAGUUCUUUUAUAUGUGAGCAGUGCUUCUUAUAUUAACAGUAUGGGGAGAGAGAUAUUAGCAUAUGAAUAAGCAACGGCUAAACUCCGUGCCAGCAGCCGACGGU